GAUGAACGCUAGCGGCAGGCAUAAUACAUGCAAGUUGAACGCUGAGGACAGCAGCAAUGUUAUCCUUGGAGUGGCGCACGGGUGCGUAACACGUAUGCAAUCUGCCCCUAACAGGGGAAUAGCCCGGCGAAAGUCGGAUUAAUACCCCAUAACAAUGCGAACCGGCAUCGGUUUGUUUUUAAAGCUCCGGCGGUUAGGGAUGAGCAUGCGCGACAUUAGCUAGAUGGCGGGGUAACGGCCCACCAUGGCUACGAUGUCUAGGGGGUCUGAGAGGAUUUUCCCCCACACUGGUACUGAGACACGGACCAGACUCCUACGGGAGGCAGCAGUAGGGAAUAUUGGGCAAUGGACGCAAGUCUGACCCAGCCAUGCCGCGUGAAGGAUGAAGGCCCUAUGGGUUGUAAACUUCUUUUGUACGGGAAGAAACCCCUAUACGUGUAGGGGCUGACGGUACCGUAAGAAUAAGGAUCGGCUAACUCCGUGCCAGCAGCCGCGGUAA
rnacentral:rRNA from 1 species